GACGAACGCUGGCGGCGUGCUUAACACAUGCAAGUCGAGCGGUAAGGCCCUUUCGGGGGUACGACGAGCGGCGAACGGGUGAGUAACACGUGGGUGACCUGCCUUUAGCUCUGGGAUAAGCCUGGGAAACUGGGUCUAAUACCGGAUAUGACUCCAUGAUGCAUGUUGUGGGGUGGAAAGCCUUGUGCGGCUGGAGAUGGGCCCGCGGCCUAUCAGCUUGUUGGUGGGGUGAUGGCCUACCAAGGCGACGACGGGUAGCCGGCCUGAGAGGGCGACCGGCCACACUGGGACUGAGACACGGCCCAGACUCCUACGGGAGGCAGCAGUGGGGAAUCUUGCGCAAUGGGCGAAAGCCUGACGCAGCGACGCCGCGUGAGGGAUGACGGCCU
rnacentral:rRNA from 1 species